GUGGGGAAUAUUGGACAAUGGGCGCAAGCCUGAUCCAGCAAUGCCGCGUGGGUGAAGAAGGCCUUCGGGUUGUAAAGCCCUUUUGUACGGAAAGAAAUCCUGGUGGUUAAUACCCGCCGGGGAUGACGGUACCGUAAGAAUAAGCACCGGCUAACUUCGUGCCAGCAGCCGCGGUAAUACGAAGGGUGCAAGCGUUAAUCGGAAUUACUGGGCGUAAAGCGUGCGUAGGUGGUUGUUCAAGUCUGUCGUGAAAGCCCUGGGCUCAACCUGGGAAUGGCGAUGGAAACUGGGCGACUAGAGUGCGGUAGAGGAUGGCGGAAUUCCCGGUGUAGCGGUGAAAUGCGUAGAGAUCGGGAGGAACAUCCGUGGCGAAGGCGGCCAUCUGGACCAGCACUGACACUGAGGCACGAAAGCGUGGGGAGCAAACAGGAUUAGAUACCCCAGUAGUCC
rnacentral:rRNA from 1 species